AAGGAUUGAAACCAUUCAGCUCAAUAGCGUAUAUUAAAGUUGUUGCAGUUAAAAAGCUCGUAGUUGAACCUUGGGUCUGGCUGGCCGGUCCGCCUCACCGCGAGUACUGGUCCGGCUGGACCUUUCCUUCUGGGGAACCUCAUGGCCUUCACUGGCUGUGGGGGGAACCAGGACUUUUACUGUGAAAAAAUUAAAGUGUUCAAAGCAGGCCUUUGCUCGAAUACAUUAGCAUGGAAUAAUAGAAUAGGACGUGCGGUUCUAUUUUGUUGGUUUCUAGGACCGCCGUAAUGAUUAAUAGGGAUAGUCGGGGGCGUCAGUAUUCAGCUGUCAGAGGUGAAAUUCUUGGAUUUGCUGAAGACUAACUACUGCGAAAGCAUUCGCCAAGGAUGUUUUCAUUAAUCAGGGAACGAAAGUUAGGGGAUCGAAGACGAUCAGAUACCGUCGUAGUCUUAACCAUAAACUAUGCCGACUAGGGAUCGGA
rnacentral:rRNA from 1 species